rnacentral:rRNA from 1 species
CCUACGGGUGGCAGCAGUGGGGAAUAUUGCACAAUGGGGGAAACCCUGAUGCAGCGACGCCGCGUGAAGGAAGAAGUAUUUCGGUAUGUAAACUUCUAUCAGCAGGGAAGAAAAUGACGGUACCUGACUAAGAAGCCCCGGCUAACUACGUGCCAGCAGCCGCGGUAAUACGUAGGGGGCAAGCGUUAUACGGAUUUACUGGGUGUAAAGGGAGUGUAGGCGGCUAUGCAAGUCAGAAGUGAAAGCCCGGGGCUCAACUCCGGGACUGCUUUUGAAACUGGAUGUCUAGAUUGCAGGAGAGGCAAGUGGAAUUCCUAGUGUAGCGGUGAAAUGCGUAGAUAUUAGGAGGAACACCAGUGGCGAAGGCGGCUUGCUAGACUGUAAAUGACGCUGAGGCUCGAAAGUGUGGGUAGCAAACAGGAUUAGAUACCCCAGUAGUC